rnacentral:rRNA from 1 species
AGUGAACGCUGGCGGUAGGCCUAACACAUGCAAGUCGAACGGCAGCACAGUAAGAGCUUGCUCUUACGGGUGGCGAGUGGCGGACGGGUGAGGAAUACAUCGGAAUCUACUUUUUCGUGGGGGAUAACGUAGGGAAACUUACGCUAAUACCGCAUACGACCUACGGGUGAAAGCAGGGGAUCUUCGGACCUUGGGCGAUUGAAUGAGCCGAUGUCGGAUUAGAUAGUUGGCGGGGUAAAGGCCCACCAAGGCGACGAUCCGUAGCUGGUCUGAGAGGAUGAUCGGCCACACUGGAACUGAGACACGGUCCAGACUCCUACGGGAGGCAGCAGUGGGGAAUAUUGGACAAUGGGCGCAAGCCUGAUCCAGCCAUACCGCGUGGGUGAAGAAGGCCUUCGGGUUGUAAAGCCCUUUUGUUGGGAAAGAAAAGCAGCAGAUUAAUACCCCGCUGUUCUGACGGUACCCAAAGAAUAAGCACCGGCUAACUUCGUG